GCCCUGGUAGUGUAGUGGUUAGCACAGAGCCCUGUCGAGGCUCUAACUCGAGUUCAAAUCUCGGCCAGGGCGCCA
rnacentral:tRNA from 1 species